rnacentral:rRNA from 1 species
UUUAAUUCGAUGCAACGCGAAGAACCUUACCUACCCUUGACAUCCUGCGAACCCUUCGGAGACGAAGGGGUGCCUUCGGGAACGCAGAGACAGGUGCUGCAUGGCUGUCGUCAGCUCGUGUUGUGAAAUGUUGGGUUAAGUCCCGUAACGAGCGCAACCCUUGUCCCUAUUUGCCAGCGAGUCAUGUCGGGAACUCUAAGGAGACUGCCGGUGACAAACCGGUGGAAGGUGGGGACGACGUCAAGUCAUCAUGGCCCUUACGGGUAGGGCUACACACGUGCUACAAUGGCCGGUACAAAGGGUUGCGAAGCCGCGAGGUGGAGCUAAUCCCGAAAAGCUGGUCUCAGUCCGGAUCGGAGUCUGCAACUCGACUCCGUGAAGUCGGAAUCGCUAGUAAUCGUGAAUCAGAAUGUCA